UGUGCAAGUGUGCAGGUUCCUUUGUA
rnacentral:piRNA from 1 species